UACGUAGGUGGCAAGCGUUGUCCGGAUUUAUUGGGUUUAAAGGGUGCGUAGGCGGUGAUUUAAGUCAGUGGUGAAAUACUUCAGCUUAACUGGAGAGGUGCCAUUGAUACUGGGUCACUUGAGUACUGAUGAGGUAGGCGGAAUGGACGGUGUAGCGGUGAAAUGCUUAGAUAUCGUCCAGAACACCGAUAGCGAAGGCAGCUUACUAAGGAGUAACUGACGCUGAGGCACGAAAGUGUGGGGAUCAAACAGG
rnacentral:rRNA from 1 species